CGGGGUGAGUAACGCGUGGGUAACCUGCCUCAUACAGGGGGAUAACAGUUAGAAAUGACUGCUAAUACCGCAUAAGCGCACAGGACCGCAUGGUCAAGUGUGAAAAACUCCGGUGGUAUGAGAUGGACCCGCGUCUGAUUAGCUGGUUGGUGAGGUAACGGCCCACCAAGGCGACGAUCAGUAGCCGACCUGAGAGGGUGGCCGGCCACAUUGGGACUGAGACACGGCCCAAACUCCUACGGAAGGCAGCAG
rnacentral:rRNA from 1 species